GGCUUCCUCAGGCGCUGGCCCCAGAGUCAGGCUGCACAUUGGCUUGGAGGACAGGCCUUUCCUCUGGGACUGUGAGGCCCAGAGUGCCCACCCAGAACUCCACCUCUGACCUCACAAAGGCCUGCUUCAGAACUCGGUCUCCACGGCACUGCUGGCCGGAUGAGGGAUGUUAUUUUGGGCAGUGCAUCUGGACUUGGUUCAAGUGGCACCAGCCAAACCCCUGCCUUACUGACCUCUCCCCUGGAGGAGCAGGAGCAGCGCUCGAGGCCGCCCUGGGAGGGCUGAGAGGCAGGCUCUGGACUGGGGACACAGGGAUAGCUGAGCCCCAGCUGGGGGUGGAAGCUGAGCCAGGGACAGUCACGGAGGAACAAGAUCAAGAUGCGCUUUAACUGAGAAGCCCCCAAGGCAGAGGCUGAGAAUCAGAAGACAUUUCAGCAGAAACAUACAUAUGAUAGUUGAGAAAGACACAUAUUCUGAUCAUGACGAAAUAAACACAAGUUAAAUAUGACUAAGCAGAAAGACGGAAGGACCAGGAACGGUGAUGCUAACUUGGAACCACGAUGCAGGCUCUAAACUCCUCUGCAAUCAUCCUCCCUUGUAAGAAAAAUACAUAAGUCACUUUUAAAAUAAAUAGAAACCUGAACACA